CAGAUACCAAACCCUAAUAUCGCGAUAUAAAUAGUUUCUCACAACAUUUUUGUUCAGCUUCUUCGUCAUACUUCGCAGACCCAAACUCCAGAGCCUACCUCUUGAUCCAUCGGCUCCAAUUUCGCUCAAAUCCCACGCUCUAUCUUUGCCUCCCAAAUCCCCAACCUCUCAAAACAAAGCUCUCGCCAAAAAUCCCACUCUCUCUGAAGAUCGUGCUGAUCUCCACCAGCGUGGUGUCCAUGUCCGUCGCACUGAAGCUCUUUGUUCCGGUGGCCGCGGACCUCAAGCAAGGGCAAGGGUGAAUGGACUAUCACUCCUGUUCUUCAUGAUGUCAUUGAGGUGCCAGUUAUUUUGGGUGUGAUGUUGCAUGAAGACUCUUACUUGAUCUUCUGGGUAUGGGACACUUUGACAUCACAUCGCAGAGUAGCAGCAUUGAAUCCUUUGCUCAAGGAUGCUUUUGUUAAGGCUUUUGUUGUCUGCAGUUGAACUUGAUGGGUGUGUACUGUGUAUGAUCAAUCGCAAGAACAACAGGAACAUAAUCAGCAUAGGAACAUUAGGAACAGCAGCAACAAGUCCUCCAACUUCUCUGUUAAUGCUUGGGAGUUGUGGCUGAGAUUACAUGGGAGAGAUUACAAGCACCAGUCUGGGACAGAGGGAUCGACUCUUGUUUUUGUUUUUAUUUUUUGGGUCUUUCAAUUUUGAUAAUGGUUAAUAGUUUGUUAUUUUUUUAUAUUUUUAUAUCGUAAAGGUUCCAACGGCCUUAAUACUCAAUUUUCUUUA